rnacentral:rRNA from 1 species
AGGACGAACGCUGGCGGCGUGCUUAACACAUGCAAGUGGAGCGACGAACCGGGGCUUGCCCCGGGGCAGAGCCGCGAACGGGUGAGUAACACGUGGGUUACCUGCCUUGAUGACCGGGACAACCCGAGGAAACUCGGGCUAAUACCGGAUGUGCCCGCAAGGGGAAAGGAAGCUUCGGCCUCCGCAUCGAGAUGGGCCCGCGGCCCAUUAGCUUGUUGGUGAGGUAACGGCUCACCAAGGCUUUGAUGGGUAGCUGGUCUGAGAGGACGAUCAGCCACACUGGGACUGAGACACGGCCCAGACUCCUACGGGAGGCAGCAGUGGGGAAUCUUGCGCAAUGCGCGAAAGCGUGACGCAGCAACGCCGCGUGGGGGAAGACGGCUUUCGGGUUGUAAACCCCUUUCAGUUGGGACGAAGCCUCAUCGGUUAAUAGCCGCGUGGGGUGACGGUACCUUCACAAGAAGCACCGGCUAACUACGCGCCAGCAGCCGC